GUGUGCGAUCAUACUAAUGUUAAUGCACCAGAUCCCAUCAGAAAUCCACAGUUAAGUGUGCUUGGGCUAGAGUAGUACUGGGAUGGGUGACCUCCCAAGAAGUCCUAUUGUUGGACCCU
rnacentral:rRNA from 1 species